GACGAACGCUGGCGGCGGGCCUAAUACAUGCAAGUCGAGCGGAGCGGAGGACGGGUGAGUAAUGCCUAGGAAUCUGCCUGGUAGUGGGGGAUAACGUCCGGAAACGGGCGCUAAUACAGCAUACUAGCAGAUGAGCCUAGGUCGGAUGAGCUAGUUGGUGGGGUAAAGGCCUAACAAGGAGACGAUCCGUAACUGGUCUGAGAGGAUGAUCAGUCACACUGGAACUGAGACACUGUCCAGACUCCUACGGGAGGCAUCAGUGGUGAAUAUUGGACAAUGGGCGAAAUCCUGAUCCAGCCAUGCCGCGUGUGUGAAGAAGGUCUUCGGAUUGUAAAGCACUUUAAGUUGGGAGACGUUACCAACACAAUCAGCACCGGCUAACUUCGUGCCAGCAGCCGCGGUAAUAC
rnacentral:rRNA from 1 species